rnacentral:lncRNA from 1 species
GUUGAAGAAGCAAGUCGCUCAGAACCAACAUGAUAAUUCUGAUUUGAAGAGCGAGCUUGCGAGUGCCGAAGAAGAAGUGCUGGCCUUGAAGGACAACAACACCGCACUUGCUGAUAGAGCUGUUGGGUUGGAUAUGGAUGUACGCAACCAAUCCGACCAGCUUCAGGAGCUCAUCUUCUUCGGACCAACAGUAUUCCCUGCUCUACCUCCGAACUACAUCACGGAUAUUAUGGAGUGGGUAGAGCAGCACCCUGAGGAGCUCGAGAAGAACAAGGAAGCUCU